rnacentral:rRNA from 1 species
GACAGAGGUGCCGAGCGUUAGGCGGAAUCACUGGGCUUAAAGCGUGUGUAGGCGGACUUCUAAGUACCUUGUGAAAUCCCAUGGCUCAACCAUGGAACUGCUCGGUAUACUGGUUGUCUUGAGCCACUUAGGGGCAGUCGGAACAGACGGUGGAGCGGUGAAAUGCGUAGAUAUCGUCUGGAACGCCAAAGGUGAAAACAGGUAACUGGGAGUGUGCUGACGCUGAGACACGAAAGCCAGGGGAGCGAACGGG